rnacentral:rRNA from 1 species
CUACGGGAGGCAGCAGUGGGGAAUAUUGCGCAAUGGCCGAAAGGCUGACGCAGCGACGCCGCGUGCGGGAUGAAGGCCUUCGGGUUGUAAACCGCUGUCGGAAGGGACGAAUACCUGGC